GCAGCAUCAGUUAUGUAAUUCCUGUGCAACCCCAAGUUCCCACCAGCGUUGAGCUUGACCUUCAAAACACUCCCCAGAAACUGGAGUGAGAAAUGUUGAAAUGCCACAUGAAAGGCCUUGCUUAGAGGGUUUCCAGCUGAGACUGGAGAUUGAAGUGGCGAACAUUCUCACAAGGGAUCCAGGCCUUCAGGAUAUUUCCAAACAAACCUUGUGGCCCCUUGGGGACAAGGGUAAACUUACGGCAUAUUGGGUUUGUCCAACACGGAUGCAGAGCAGACCGGAGCAAGGCAGAGUGAGCUCUGGCUGCUAUUUUGUGACAUGA
rnacentral:lncRNA from 1 species